GAUGAACGCUGGCGGCGUGCCUAAUACAUGCAAGUCGAGCGAACGGACGAGAAGCUUGCUUCUCUGAUGUUAGCGGCGGACGGGUGAGUAACACGUGGAUAACCUACCUAUAAGACUGGGAUAACUUCGGGAAACCGUAGCUAAUACCGGAUAAUAUUUUGAACCGCAUGGUUCAAAAGUGAAAGACGGUCUUGCUGUCACUUAUAGAUGGAUCCGCGCUGCAUUAGCUAGUUGGUAAGGUAACGGCUUACCAAGGCAACGAUGCAUAGCCGACCUGAGAGGGUGAUCGGCCACACUGGAAGUGAGACACGGUCCAGACACCUACGGGAGGAAGCAGUAGGGAAUCUUACGCAAUGGGCGAAAGCCUGACGGAGCAACGCCGCGUGAGUGAUGAAGGUCUUCGGAUCGUAAAACUCUGUUAUUAGGGAAGAACAUAUGUGUAAGUAACUGUGCACAUCUUGACGGUACCUAAUCAGAAAGCCACGGCUAACUACGUG
rnacentral:rRNA from 1 species